CGCUAUCAUCAUUAACUUUAUUUAUUACCGUCAUUCAAAUUUGAAUGUCUGUUUAUCCAGAAUUGAACCGAAUGCACUGCAUUCGGUUUUUUUU
rfam:Leclercia adecarboxylata strain I1 Leclercia_S84_R1__paired__contig_49, whole genome shotgun sequence.